rnacentral:tRNA from 1 species
GCCUCCAUAGCUUAAUGGUAAAGCAGCUGCCUUUUAAGCAGUUGACCAUGGUUCGAUUCCAUGUGGGGGCACCA